UCGUCGUCAGGACGAACGCUGGCGGCGUGCCUAACACAUGCAAGUCGAGCGGGGACAUGCGACGGAUAGGAAGAUUCGGUUGGACUUGAAGAUGCAUUGUCUAGCGGCGGACGGGUGAGUAACGCGUGAGCAACCUGUCCCUUACAGGGGGAUAACACAGCGAAAGUUGUACUAAUACCGCAUAAGACCACGGGAGGACAUCCUUCAGGGGUCAAAGGAGCAAUCCGGUAAGGGGUGGGCUCGCGUCCGAUUAGAUAGUUGGUGAGGUAACGGCCCACCAAGUCGACGAUCGGUAGCCGACCUGAGAGGGUGAUCGGCCACAUUGGGACUGAGACACGGCCCAAACUCCUACGGGAGGCAGCAGUGGGGAAUAUUGGGCAAUGGGGGAAACCCUGACCCAGCAACGCCGCGUGAGGGAAGAAGGUUUUCGGAUCGUAAACCUCUGUCCUUGGUGAAGAGGAAGAGACGGUAGCCAAGGAGGAAGCCCCGGCUAACUACGUGCCAGCAGCGGC
rnacentral:rRNA from 1 species